rnacentral:rRNA from 1 species
GUGGAUUAGAUACCCUGGUAGUCCUAGCCGUAAACGAUGGGUGCUAGGUGUGGGGCGGCGAUCGACCCGUUCCGUGCCGUAGCCAACGCAUUAAGCACCCCGCCUGGGGAGUACGGCCGCAAGGCUAAAACUCAAAGGAAUUGACGGGGGCCCGCACAAGCGGCGGAGCAUGUGGCUUAAUUCGAUGCGACGCGAAGAACCUUACCUGGGCUUGACAUGCGGGGUGAAGCCGUGGAAACACGGCCCGCCUUCGGGAGCCCGCACAGGUGUUGCACGGCUGUCGACAGCU